UGACCUUUUGAACCUGUCAUCCAUUUUUUCUUAAUGAUUUAAUUAUUUUGAACUCAGAAACUCUAUGCUGGGUUAAGGUGGCUGCAAGGUGAAGGGAUUAGACAAGAAUUUAAAAUAAGGCGAGCUGAGGGGAAAGUCUCUGGAACAGUGUGUGUGAAUCCAGCUCAACAAACAGCAGUCUAGACAAGGUAACAGAGACUGGGAGACAGAACCAGCUGGGUCUGCCAAAGUGUUUGUAAACACCUAUCUCUGGGCAAACACCCUUCCUGGGUAUCUGUGAAAGGCAGGGCAAAGUUAGUGUGAGGCGCACCAGAGCCACAGAAGGGGGCCGGCGUGGCACUGUGGUGGAGGAAGCUGGCUGUGUCACCAUCGUUCAUCACAACUUUACUUCCCUUUUCACCUUGCUGAACCUAACUGAUAUUUCCGCUCU
rnacentral:lncRNA from 1 species